rnacentral:rRNA from 1 species
AUUGAAUGCUGGCGGCAGGCCUAACACAUGCAAGUCGAACGGUAGCACAGAGAGCUUGCUCUUGGGUGACGAGUGGCGGACGGGUGAGUAAUGUCUGGGAAACUGCCCGAUGGAGGGGGAUGACUACUGGAAACGGUAGCUAAUACCGCAUAACGUCUUCGGACCAAAGUGGGGGACCUUCGGGCCUCACACCAUCGGAUGUGCCCAGAUGGGAUUAGCUAGUAGGUGGGGUAAUGGCUCACCUAGGCGACGAUCCCUAGCUGGUCUGAGAGGAUGACCAGCCACCCUGGAACUGAGACACGGUCCAGACUCCUACGGGAGGCAGCAGUGGGGAAUAUUGCACAAUGGGCGCAAGCCUGAUGCAGCCAUGCCGCGUGUAUGAAGAAGGCCUUCGGGUUGUAAAGUACUUUCAGCGGGGAGGAAGGCGAUGGAGUUAAUAGCUUCAUCGAUUGACGUUACCCGCAGAAGAAGCACCGGCUAACUCCGUGCCAGCAGCCGCAGUAA